AUGAACAUUGCCCUCCUGACUAGGUGGCUGUGGCGGAUUACGAACGGUGAGGGUGGCCUAUGGCUUCGCAUCAUCCAGCAGAAAUACCUUCGGGGCCAACCGCUCGCCUUCUGCCAGCGGUCCGGUGGUUCCCAGUUCUGGCAAUCCAUCAUAUAGCUCCUCCCAGUCCUCCGCAUUGGAUCUUCGAUUGCGGUUGGGUCUGGCACUGCCAUGCUAUUUUGGUUCAAUCGCUGGGAUGGGGACACCCCCUUCGCGGCUCAUUUUCCUGACCCGUUCUCCAUCGCGGUUGACCUGCGGAUUUCUGUUGCAAUGGCCCUUAUUGACUUAGGACAACUCGCGUUCCAACGACAAUUUGGACCGGCAGAGAAUGCGGCUUGGCAUGACUUGCUCAACUGCAUUGCGUUGCAUGAGCUUGAGCUAGAGACGGGAGAUGACCGCACUAGGUGGCAGCUGGAGCCGUCUGGUCUAUUCUCUACUAAAUCACUCUGCCAGGCGAUCGCCCCCUCACUGGGUCCUGAGGCUCUUACCACCAUCUUGGAGAUCCGGCUCCCCUUGAAAUUAGGAUUUUCUUGUGGCAAUGGAUCCACGGCCGCUUCCCUUCCAUAG
rnacentral:rRNA from 1 species